rnacentral:rRNA from 1 species
CACGUAGGGCGCAAGCGUUGUCCGGAAUUAUUGGGCGUAAAGAGCUCGUAGGCGGUCUGUUACGUCCGCUGUGAAAACCCGUGGCUCAACCAUGUGGUCUGCAGUCGAUACGGGCAGGCUAGAAUUCGGUAGGGGAGACUGGAAUUCCUGGUGUAGCGGUGAAAUGCGCAGAUAUCAGGAGGAACACCGGUGGCGAAGGCGGGUCUCUGGGCCGAUAUUGACGCUGAGGAGCGAAAGCGUGGGGAGCGAACAGG